GUCUUAAUUAUCUUCAUAUCCAUAUUUUAAUCAUUUAUAACACAUGAAAAAUUUGAUCUCCAUGAACUAUUUUUUAGUUUCUAUAUUAUAAUUGAAAAGUUCAUCAAUUGUUAAGAUUUCACACACUUCAAAGUGCGAUUUUUUACAUAGAUGAUUGAAGCUUGUAUUUGAUUACUUAAAAGUAGUGAAACAGAUAACUUUUAUGAAAAACAAAUGAUGUGUAGUGAUACUGAUUUUGUAGAAUCUCCUUUCAAUAUUGUGUUUUCGUCACAUGCAAGUUCAAAAAAUAGAUAAAUUAUUGAUAAAAAUAAAAUAUUUGUUAGAUUUGUGGAUAAGAAAUGAAGUACUAAAGGAAAGGAAAAGAUUAUUGAAGAAUUAUUUGAUGUUAAAGAAAAAUGUUAUUUUGGAGGAAAGAUACCUAUUUGCAGAAGGAAGAAGAAAAUUGCAAUUAAAAAUCGCAUCUUAUAGUUAUGGGUUUAUGAAUGUUGUUCAAGUGUAAAUCCUGAAAUCGCAUAUCGAGUUGUUGAUAGAGUACCAAGAAUAUUAAAUUAAAAAGUGGUUCAUCAUAUGCCAUCGAUAAAAAUCUUAUGGCAGUCUUUAUUUAGCCAAUGAGAAGGUAUGGUCAAACAUUUCUCCUACAGUUGAUGAAUUGGGAGUACUUAAGUUGCUGACUGAUAAUGUAUUUCAGUUUCAUCGUAUCAAUUUUUUUUUAAAACUCCAUUACUUAACAAAAGAAGGUUUGCAAGAAAGCGCAUAAAGGUGAAAAGAAUGUCUGUAAGGUAAUGAAAAAAUGUGAAGAAAAUAAUUUUAAAUUUAAAGUUAAAAGUUAUUGAUUACUACUUCAUUGAUAUUAUUUGUUGUAAUACAUAUAAUUUUAUUUAUUACUUCAACAUUCAAUAAUUGUAUAUAUAGCUUACAAAGGAGUUGCCUAUAUUAAAAAAUGUCAAAGAAGAAUCGAUUGCCGGGUCAUUGAAGAAAGUAUCAACUAAGCGUGAUGAUGAUAACAACAAUUAUCCAAGGAUGAAUUCUAAUGAGAAGUCAAAAGUUACAACAGUUUGUUUUAGUGAUUAUGUUUUGCUGACUGAAUUUGACAAGGUAAAUCUUUUUUUAUAUUAUUCAUUACAUUUUAAUAAGCUAUGAUGUUAGAAUAUUAUUAAGAUUAAUAUGUUUAAUUAAUAUAUCUUUUAAUAUAUUGAUUUAAUCAUAUAAACAGCUUAGCAGUGAGUUAAAUAUUUCAAGACCUAUGUGAAGAUAUCUCUUCAACAAUUAAAUGUUAAUUCAAAUUGUGAGGUACUAUCAAUUUCAUAUUUAUUAAUAUUACAAGACUGUAACAUAUGACAUCUUGGGAUCAUUUUUUUUUAAAUCUUAUUUUCCAUCUUAAAUCAACCAUAACUGUUAGUAACGUCAAAGUGAAAAUAUAGAUGUUAAAAAUGUGUUG